AUUGAACGCUGGCGGCAUGCUUUACACAUGCAAGUCGAACGGCAGCACGGACUUCGGUCUGGUGGCGAGUGGCGAACGGGUGAGUAAUACAUCGGAACGUACCCAGUAAUGGGGGAUAACUAUCCGAAAGGAUAGCUAAUACCGCAUACGCCCUACGGGGGAAAGAGGGGGAUCGCAAGACCUCUUGUUAUUGGAGCGGCCGAUGGCUGAUUAGCUAGUUGGUAGGGUAAAGGCCUACCAAGGCAACGAUCAGUAGCGGGUCUUAGUGGACGAUCCGCCACACUGGAACUGAGACACGGUCCAGACUCCUACGGGAGGCAGCAGUGGGGAAUCUUGGACAAUGGGCGCAAGCCUGAUCCAGCAAUGCCGCGUGCGUGAAGAAGGCCUUCGGGUUGUAAAGCGCUUUUGUCAGGGAGCAAAUCCUUGUGGCUAAUACCCACCGGGGAUGAGAGUACCUGAAGAAUAAGGACCGGCUAACUACGUGCCAGCCGCCGCCGUAAAAC
rnacentral:rRNA from 1 species